rnacentral:rRNA from 1 species
CGACUGCUAAUACCGGAUGUGCCGAGAGGUAAAAGGCUUGCUGCCUGAAGAUGAGCUCGCGUCUGAUUAGCUAGUUGGUGUGGUAAGAGCGCACCAAGGCGACGAUCAGUAGCUGGUCUGAGAGGAUGAUCAGCCACACUGGGACUGAGACACGGCCCAGACUCCUACGGGAGGCAGCAGUGGGGAAUUUUCCGCAAUGGGCGAAAGCCUGACGGAGCAAUACCGCGUGAGGGAGGAAGGCUCUUGGGUUGUAAACCUCUUUUCUCAAGGAAUAACAAAAUGAAGGUACUUGAGGAAUAAGCAUCGGCUAACUCCGUGCCAGCAGCCGCGGUAAUACGGAGGAUGCAAGCGUUAUCCGGAAUGAUUGGGCGUAAAGGGUCCGCAGGUGGCAGUGUAAGUCUGCUGUUAAAGAAUGAGGCUCAACCUCAUCAAGGCAGUGGAAACUACACAGCUAGAGUACGGUCGGGGUAGAAGGAAUUCCUGGUGUAGCGGUGAAAUGCGUAGAGAUCAGGAAGAACACCGGUGGCGAAAGCGUUCUGCUAGGCCUGUACUGACACUGAGGGACGAAAGCUAGGGGAGCGAAUGGGAUUAGAUA